AAGUCGUAACAAGGUUUCCGUAGGUGAACCUGCGGAAGGAUCAUUCAUGUGAACUUUUAUAACUGGUUGCAGUCGACCUGACUGCAAUCCAAACACCUUGCAACUAAGCUAUUAGUUGCAGUGCCUCGGUUCUGUGUUUUUCUUUUGUGGGCUGCGUUUUCUUUUAUCUUCAUUCCGUUUUCUAGCACAUUAAAACAGAGAUCAACGGUAAAAAGAAGUAAAAUGCUACCUAGAAUUUCAUACUCUUUUAAACUCAAACCAACACUAUCUCCAUAGUCAAUUUAUAAACCUAUAACAACUAUUAACGAUGGAUCCCUCGGCUCUCA
rnacentral:misc_RNA from 1 species